rnacentral:rRNA from 1 species
GACGAACGCUGGCGGCGUGCUUAACACAUGCAAGUCGAACGGAAAGGCCCUGCUUUUGUGUGGUGCUCGAGUGGCGAACGGGUGAGUAACACGUGAGUAACCUGCCCUUGACUUUGGGAUAACUUCAGGAAACUGGGGCUAAUACCGGAUAGGAGCUCCUGCUGCAUGGUGGGGGUUGGAAAGUUUCGGCGGUUGGGGAUGGACUCGCGGCUUAUCAGCUUGUUGGUGGGGUAGUGGCUUACCAAGGCUUUGACGGGUAGCCGGCCUGGGAGGGUGACCGGGCACAUUGGGACUGAGAUACGGCCCAGACGCCUACGGGAGGCAGCAGUGGGGAAUAUGGCACAAUGGGCGGACGCCUGAUGCAGCAACGCCGCGUGCGGGAUGACGGCCUUCGGGUUGUAAACCGCUUUCGCCUGUGACGAAGCGUGAGUGACGGUAAUGGGUAAAGAAGCACCGGCUAACUACGUG